rnacentral:rRNA from 1 species
UACGGAGGGUGCAAGCGUUGUUCGGAAUGACUGGGCGUAAAGUGCGCGUAGGUGGAUGUUUAAGUUAGAUGUGAAAUCCCAGGGCUUAACCCUGGAGCUGCAUCUAAUACUGGAGAUCUUGAAUGUUCGAGAGGUUGGUGGAAUUCCAGGUGUAGGAGUGAAAUCCGUAGAUAUCUGGAGGAACAUCGGAGGCGAAGGCGGCCGACUGGCGAAACAUUGACACUGAGGCGCGAAAGCGUGGGGAGCAAACAGG